ACAAGCACCAGGGGCACCAAACAAGUAUGAAAAGAGACAGGCUAGAAUCUUGCAGCCAUCAGAUGUAGAAAGAUGCUAUUUACACAAAUAUUAGGACCCACUCUCGACUGCAGGAGGUGGACCCCGAACACGCAGAAGCUGCAAGGUGUCCCGUGACAGAGGAAUGCAGCGGGAGCGGCAGGACCCAGAGGAAGGAAGGAGGGAGCCGCUCUUGAAAGGAGACCAAAACCACCGAUGCUCAAGCCCGGGAUGGCAGGCUCAGGAGCACAUGGCCUGUGCACUUGUGUUCAUGGCGUACUUGCUAAGGAAAGUCAGUGCUGCGCAGUGUGAAGCUGUUUACUGCACACGGACGCCAGGCCAAGGGAUGAAUGGUGGCUUGGACACCGCCCCCUGCAAGCUGGCCAAGCCGUGUGCCUGGACACGGGACCACACCCACCCAGAGAGCCAGCCGACGCGCUUUUCCAAUUUGCCAAGCCCUGCACUGGGGGAGGGGGCUGGGGGCUUUUCCUAAUUCGUGCCUGAUGUCCUGGGGUCCACCCGGAGAGGUGAAGAAGACUUCACUGUUGCUGCCAUUUGGGGUGAGGGCUGGAAGCUAAGUGACAUCUCAGAGUGGUGUUGGGGGUAGGGGCGAAUUGGGAGGGAGGUCUGCCCCCUUGAUUCCCCCAGGUCAAGGCCCCUUCCAUGGAGCACACUUCCAGGGUCAGUUAGAGGCUCAUGGAAUUCCACAUUAGAAUAGAACCCACAGAACUUCAGAAGUGAAUGUCCCCAACGUGUGUCUCCUCCAGCCCCAGCGUGUGCGUCGUGUUCAGCACAGAACUUAGAGUCAAA